CCUACGGGGGGCAGCAGUGGGGAAUAUUGCACAAUGGGGGAAAGCCUGAUGCAACAACGCCGCGUGAAGGAAGACGGUUUUCGGAUUGUAAACUUCUAUCAAUAGGGAAGAAAGAAGUGACGGUACCUAAAUAAGAAGCCCCGGCUAACUACGUGCCAGCCGCCGCGGUAAUACGUAGGGGGCAAGCGUUAUCCGGAAUUACUGGGUGUAAAGGGAGAGUAGGCGGCAAGGUAAGCGAUAUGUGAAAGCCUUAAGCUUAACUUAAGGAUGGCAUAACGAACUAUCUAGCUAGAGUACAGGAGAGGAAAGCGGAAUUUCUAGUGUAGCGGUGAAAUGCGUAGAUAUUAGGAAGAACACCAGUGGCGAAGGCGGCUUUCUGGACUGAAACUGACGCUGAGGCUCGAAAGCGUGGGGAGCGAACAGGAUUAGAUACCCGUGUAGUC
rnacentral:rRNA from 1 species